AUCGCUUCUCGGCCUUUUGGCUAAGAUCAAGUGUAAAAUUAAAGUGUCUAAUAUGGUGUAGACAUCAAUUUUUGAAAACUUUUUUUUUAAUAUAUCUCGGGUUAUAUAUAAAGUAUGUUGACACCAAUUCGUGUCUUCAUACAUGUACUUUGGAUAAUGAUGUCCAUCAUAUGCUACCAUCU